GGUAGCUCAGUGGUAGAGUGCUUGUCUUGCAUGCAUGAGGCUCUGGGUUCGAUUCCUCGGCACCA
rnacentral:tRNA from 1 species